rnacentral:rRNA from 1 species
CAGUUAUAGUUUACUUGAUAAUCUUUACUUACAUGGAUAACCGUGGUAAUUCUAGAGCUAAUACAUGCGAAAAAACCUGACUUAAUGGAAAGGUUGUAUUUAUUAGAUAAAGAACCAAUAUAAUUGGUGACUCAUAAUAACUUUACGGAUCACAAUUUAUGUGACAUAUCAUUCAAGUUUCUGACCUAUCAGCUUUAGACGGUAGGGUAUU